CCGUCAAUUCAUUUGAGUUUUAACCUUGCGGCCGUACUCCCCAGGCGGUCGACUUCACGCGUUAGCUACGGUACUGGGAAAUCGCUUCCCCAACACCCAGUCGACAUCGUUUAGGGCGUGGACUACCAGGGUAUCUAAUCCUGUUUGCUCCCCACGCUUUCGUGCCUGAGCGUCAGUGUCAGCCCAGGGGGCUGCCUUCGCCAUCGGUGUUCCUCCGCAUCUCUACGCAUUUCACUGCUACACGCGGAAUUCCACCCCCCUCUGCCACACUCCAGUUCGCCAGUUUCAACGGCCAUUCCCAGGUUGAGCCCGGGGCUUUCACCGCCGACACAACGAACCGCCUGCGCACGCUUUACGCCCAGUAAUUCCGAUUAACGCUUGCACCCUACGUAUUACCGCG
rnacentral:misc_RNA from 1 species